CCUGCUGUCCUUCAGUCUCGGUCCCUCCCUCUGGAUUUCUGUCCCUUUCUCUCAGGCUCCCACCGCAUCACCGUCUCUAAUCCUCAACCUGGCCAGGACUCGAGGCUGCGUCACUGCAGAGAGUUGCAGAAGUGGGGCCCGUCCUGCGGACCAGGGAGCAGCCAGGCACGGGAUCAAGUUACCAAACCAGCGUUUUUGCGGAGAGAGCCGGACACUAACUUUUUUCUGAAAAAAAUCACGCGCUUAAAAAAAAAAAGGAAGAGACCCAGG